rnacentral:rRNA from 1 species
CACGUAGGGCGCAAGCGUUGUCCGGAAUUAUUGGGCGUAAAGAGCUCGUAGGCGGCUUGUUGCGUCGACUGUGAAAAACCACGACUCAACCGUGGGACUGCAGUCGAUACGGGCAGGCUAGAGUUCGGUAGGGGGAGACUGGAAUUCCUGGUGUAGCGGUGAAAUGCGCAGAUAUCAGGAGGAACACCGAUGGCGAAGGCAGAUCUCUGGGCCGUAACUGACGCUGAGGAGCGAAAGCGUGGGGAGCGAACAGG